UACGGAAGGCAGCAGGGGGGAAUAUUGCACAAUGGGCGCAAGCCUGAUGCAGCCAUGCCGCGUGUAUGAAAAAGGCCUUCGGGUUGUAAAGUACUUUCAGUCGUGAGGAAGGUGUUAAGGUUAAUAACCUUAGCAAUUGACGUUAGCGACAGAAGAAGCACCGGCUAACUCCGUGCCAGCAGCCGCGGUAAUACGGAGGGUGCGAGCGUUAAUCGGAAUUACUGGGCGUAAAGGGCACGCAGGCGGUUAAUUAAGUUGGAUGUGAAAUCCCCGGGCUUAACCUGGGAAUGGCAUUCAAGACUGGUUAGCUAGAGUCUUGUAGAGGGGGUAGAAUUCCAUGUGUAGCGGUGAAAUGCGUAGAGAUGUGGAGGAAUACCGGUGGCGAAGGCGGCCCCUGGACAAAGACUGACGCUCAUGUGCGAAAGCGUGGGGAGCAAACAGGGAUUAGGAUACC
rnacentral:rRNA from 1 species